rnacentral:rRNA from 1 species
UACAGAGGGUGCAAGCGUUUGUUCGGAAUUAUUGGGGCGUAAAAGCGCGUGUAGGCGGCUUUUGCAAGUCGGGGUGUGAAAAUCCCCUCAGCUUAACUGAGGAAGUGCGCCCCGAAAACUGCAGAGCUUGAGUGCCGGAGAGGAUGGCGGAAUUCCCCCAAGUAGAGGUGAAAAUUCGUAGAUAUGGGGGAGGAACACCGGUGGCG